rnacentral:rRNA from 1 species
UACGUAGGGGGCAAGCGUUAUCCGGAAUUACUGGGUGUAAAGGGUGAGUAGGCGGCAUGGUAAGCCAGAUGUGAAAGCCUUGGGCUUAACCCGAGGAUUGCAUUUGGAACUAUCAAGCUAGAGUACUGGAGAGGAAAGCGGAAUUCCUAGUGUAGCGGUGAAAUGCGUAGAUAUUAGGAAGAACACCAGUGGCGAAGGUGGCUUUCUGGACUGAAACUGACGCUGAGGCACGAAAGCGUGGGGAGCGAACAGG